ensembl:lncRNA
GUGCAAUUGGAAGUAUUUUGGAAACAAAAUAUAUACACUGUACACGUAAUUUGUCUGUUUACAUGUUUGUUUAAGAAAAUAUCAGACACACUGCCAACGAGAAUAAUUUCUUAUAUUUUUGAUUAGGAAUUCUGAUUUAUUUAAUCCAACACACGUGUGUGUGUGUGUGUGUGUGUGUGUGUGUGUGCUCUAGUGUCAGAUGCUUCGGGUAUAUGUGUUGACUGACCACAAAGUAAAGACGCUCUUAACAAACGUCGACAAAAGAUCAAAAAUGAAGCAUAUAAACACAAUAAGUACAAAAAGGGAAAGGAUCAGGGACAGUGUGAGGUGACGGCUUGAAGUAAUCUGGGAGUUCAAAUCUCAGCUGCGUAAUAGUGGGAAACAAGCGUAACUCUUGGCUUUCUACAUCACCUGUCAGGGUCUGUUCAGCGACAAGAAAGGCUCAGUGUGUAGGCAGGCUAACCAACUACAAAGGACCAGUGCUACUUCAUCAGUUCACAAGGAAGAAAGUUCUGCAGUGCUGCGAUGUCUGAUCCAACAGGUGGUAUCAUGGAGGCGACUGUUGCCAUGACACAAUGACACCUGACCUGACAGACCGAUAUCAAGACCUUCUCCCGACCUCUGACACGACCUUUGACACCUGUCUGACCUUACUCCCGGUCAGUGACCUUGCAGCGACUCACUGAUAGGACGCUCCAGUGUUAUAACACUAAUAAACUGAAGUCUUAAUCGUAAACAGUCUGUGAAUAGCAAUUGUGUAGUUUGUGGUCAGUGUCAUACUUUCGUGCUUUCUAAGUGCAAAAUGUCAGCCUCGACACUGCUCUUUGAUUUAACAGAUUAUUUAAGAAACGCUGACGUGAGAAGUCUCAUGGUUCGAGCAGUGUGCAGCAUUUUACUUUAUGAAAAUCUGCAGGCAGGAGGCUGCAGUUUACUGAUAAGCUGUGAAAAACAGGCUUUAUAAAGCUGGAUGUGGACAGUUUGUAGUUCACAUCUGGUCCUCCUUAUUUGUCUGAUGGUACGCUCUGUAGCCUGUGCAGGUCUCGGUUAAAAGGUGGUGAUUUGAAUGACUGUGAAACCUUUUUUUUUUUGUCAAUAAAAAUAUAGUUGAACACA